UACGUAGGUGGCAAGCGUUGUCCGGAUUUACUGGGCGUAAAGAGCGCGCAGGCGGUCGAUUAAGUCGAAUGUGAAAGCCCCCGGCUCAACUGGGGAGGGUCACGCGAUACUGAUCGACUCGAAGGCAGGAGAGGGAAGUGGAAUUCCCGGUGUAGUGGUGAAAUGCGUAGAUAUCGGGAGGAACACCAGUGGCGAAGGCGACUUCCUGGCCUGUUCUUGACGCUGAGGCGCGAAAGCUAGGGUAGCAAACGGG
rnacentral:rRNA from 1 species